GCUUCCUUAGCUCAGUCGGUAGAGCGCCAGUCUCAUAACUGGCAUGAGGACCGUUUGGUUCGCAAUCUGGAGGUCGCAAGUUCGAGCCUUGCAGGGAGCA